rnacentral:rRNA from 1 species
CCUUUAAAGGAAACGUCUAAUGAUGAGACGGCGACGGAUUAGGUUGUUGGCGGGGUAAUGGCCCACCAAGCCGAAGAUCCGUACGGGCCUUGAGAGAGGUAGCCCGGAGAAGGACACUGAGAUACUGGUCCUAGCCUUACGAGGUGCAGCAGGCGCGAAACCUCUACAAUGCACGAAAGUGUGAUAGGGGAACCCUAAGUGCUUAUGUUUUACAUAGGCUUUUGCCAAGAGUAAAUAUCUUGGAGAAUAAGUAGUGGGCAAGACUGGUGCCAGCAGCCGCGGUAACCCCAGCGCUACAAGUGGGAAUCUCGUUUAUUGGGCCUAAAGCGUCCGUAGCCGGUUUGUUAAAUCUCUUGUGAAAUUGUUAAGCUUAACUUAACAGCGGGCAGGAGACACUGAUAAACUUGGGACCGGGAGGAGUCAGAGGUAUGUUAGGGGGAGCGGUAAAAUGCUAUAAUCCCUAAUAGACCACCUGUGGCGAAGGCGUCUGACUAGAACGGGUCCGACGGUGAGGGACGAAAGCUAGGGGAGCGAACCGGAUUAGAUACCCGAGUAGUCCUAGCUGUAAACGCUGCGAGCUAGGUGUUGCACCUUCUUUAUGAAUGUGCAGUGUCGAAGCGAAGGCGCUAAGCUCGCCGCCUGGGAAGUACGGUCGCAAGACUGAAACUUAAAGGAAUUGGCGGGGGAGCACCACAAGGGGUGCGGCGUGCGGUUUAAUCCAAUUCAACGCGGAACAUCUCACCAAAAGCGACGGCAGGAUGAUAGUCGGGCUAAAGACUCUACUUGACGAGCCGAGAGGUAGUGCAUGGCCGCCGUCAGCUCGUGCCGUAAGGUGUCCUGUUAAGUCAGGCAACGAGCAAGACCUGUACUUACAAUUGCUAACGAGACAGCAAUGUUGAUCGAGCACAUUGUAAGGACUGCUCCGGAAACGGAGAGGAAGGUGCAGGCAACGGUAGGUCUGUAUGCUCCGAUCCUUUGGGCUACACGCGCGCAACAAUGGUACAGACAAUGGGUCACAACUCCGAAAGGAGAAGUUAAUCCUCGAAACUGUAUCCUAGUCCAGAUUGAGGGUUGUAACUCACCCUCAUGACGAUGGAAUCCCUAGUAAUCGGACUUCAUCACGGUCCAGUGAAUAUGUCCCUGCUCCUUGCACACACCGCCCGUCAAACCACCCGAGCAGGGUUUAGAUGAGUUUUGAUUUUCAAUCAUCACGAAUCUAAACUCAGCGAGGAGGGUUAAGUCGUCACAAGGUA